rnacentral:lncRNA from 1 species
GUGAAUCACAGGUAGGUAACCUUGACAGGAUCUGAACUCAGGGCUGUUUAGAAAGAUGAAAAAAAUACACUUUUUUUAUUUGCUGGUGGAAGCACUUGUCCUGGAUCUGACAAGUGACCACAUGUGACCGGUUAUGAUGAAAUGCAGGAAAUAACUUAUGAUAACCCUGACUUAAGAAUGUGAACAUCCUCCAGCAUGCUUAAGUCCAGCCUACUGGGUUCUAUUUGGAGUCUAAGCACUGCCUACUGUCAAGGAGAAGAAGGGGCAUGGUGCUGGGUACCUACAGGCACCAGAACAUUCCUGAGGACUCACACCACAGGGAAAGGUAAGCUAUUCACUUCUUGUGCCAUCUACUCACAAUUUUGGGGAAAGGUAUAUAAAUUAAUGGAUUCAGUAAAUGUUAAACUAAAUGGAACAUUUUGUUUCUUUCUUUUGCUAACCAGUAUCUUGUGCUUAAGUGAAAGAUAUUUAAAGAAAAUUAAGAAAUUAAAUUUUCUAUGUAUUUCUGAGUGGUAG